CUAACUCUUAUUGGCUGAGAUCAACAAUAUUGAUGAUCUCAGCCAAUCCAGUGCUUCGCCAAAGGGAGGCAUUGAAACGCUAGUGCGCAUGCAUGGCAAAAUGCAGCACUAUGCUGCCAACCAAAUGCUCUCUAGGAGAGUCAUUAGACCUACAUGUGACUUCUAUCUUCCUGACAUACAACAUAGGUGUGUGUUAACUCUGAAAUGAAAAAUUAUUUGUUUUCAAUUGCUGGGAUAACAUUUUCUUGAAUGGGUUCAUUCACGCAUGGGCACAAGUCCCCAUCCAAUAAUGUUGACU